CGUGUAGGCGGCGAUGUAAGUCGGAUGUGAAAGCCCUCGGCUCAACCGAGGAAGUGCAUCCGAUACUGCUUUGCUUGAGUACCGGAGGGGAUGGCGGAAUUCCCGGUGUAGAGGUGAAAUUCGUAGAUAUCGGGAGGAACACCUGUGGCGAAGGCGGCCAUCUGGACGGUAACUGACGCUGAGACGCGAAAGCGUGGGUAGCAAACA
rnacentral:rRNA from 1 species